UUUAUUAUUGCCACAUGCAAUAACUGUAUUGCAGUCUUGAUUUCAAAGGAAGGCUAGUGCCAUUAUAAGUGAAAUAUGAUAACUUAUAAGUAUUUUCAUUGUUUCUAAAAAUCAUCGAACACAUAUGCACAAAGUGUGCUGUAGAGCGCGCCUUUUAGGAGUCAAUACAGUUCAAAUUCGUUCGCUCGUUUCUUUGUCCGUUUAACGCACCUGCGUUCGAAAAGGCCGAAACUGCUGCUACCGUGCUUAUCUUAUGUACAAAAUACCGUUGACGCAGCUCCUGGGUUAACAGCCUUUUACAUUCAGCCAGCAUACUGUAGUGACCAUACAGACACAUAUGUACAUAUGCAUGUGUAUGUAUGUAUGAUGCGCAUGAUAACGCACUUCUGCUUUCAUACAAAAUUUGAAUUCAUCAACCGAUCAUCAAGUAUUUAUGUUUUUCUCUUCCCAUCAAAGCAUGCUUUUCCCAUAAGGCAUCACUGAUUUAGAAGUUAGGCAGUUUGCAAAGUGAUACUACUCAUAUGCCAUUUGGUUUUAAGCUUCAGAUGACAAGGGUCAUAAUUUUCGUUUCACAAAGUACGGAACAAUCUGAAAAGGGGACAUUUUUUUUUCAAUUAUUUCUGAGAAAACUUUGGUAAGCAAUGAAGCCUCUUGCGCAAACAAAUUUUGUACUUCUUUUCAUUCUUCUUUAUCAUGCCUCCACUCCAGGGCUCGCAAUAUAAUGGCAAAUUCAACGGGUGCCAGGUGGAGGAUGAUGCAUACCGUUGGCUGGCCACCAUUCUUGGACCCACCGACACGCUCUAUGAGGGAGGAAUGUUUGAAUUAGAGUUGUUGCUUCCAAGCAACUACCCUUUUUCCCCUCCUAAAUUUACCACUGCAACAUUUCACCUGAUGACCUAUGUCGCCCUAUGCCUGAAUAUCCUGGGUGAAGAAUGGUUGUCAAUCCUGACAGUAGAAAACGUUCUCGUUUCAAUAAUUUAGCUGUUGUCAGACCCCAAUCCUUACGACACCUUGUUUGUGGGACCCGCUUUUGUGUACCUCCGUCACCGGCAGUUCCACAAUGAUAUUUUCCGGAGCUGGAAUUUUUUAAGAUUGAGAUUUUUUAAUUGACCGAAUAAGUAGAUCAUUAAUGCUGUUGGCACAUAAGGCCCAACUUGAUAACUUUAUUAUUUAAAGCUGAUUAAUUAUAAAGAGUUAGUUACAAUUGGUCUUCGUAGUAGAGCGAUCGCAAUAAAGUGAAAUAGCUCAUUGAUGUACUUAGAAUAGCCGUAAAACUUUGCAGCGAUAGAGUGGAAAAUUUAAAGGCCGUUAUUCUGACUGGUCUUUGACUGCAGAGUAUCAUAAAUUGUAAGUCCCUACGGAACUGCUGGCUCAUGGCGGUGUAUGAAUGCAAACUGCUGAUGCUUGGAUCCUCCCAUUUACAGCCAUACAGGUGCCAUGCCGUAGUUGUGGAGUGCAUAAUCAAAGCAUCUCCAUUUUCACAAAGAACAUAUAACUGGGAAAUCGCGGAGGAAAUGUAAACAAUAAAUUUAACAUAAUCGCCAAUGAACAUGUUUUUCCCAGUGAUUAUUUGAAAGCCAACCAUGCAAAUUAAAAGCGAUGAAAUCAUUAAAUUCACUAGGAGUAUGGGAUUAAAAAAGUCUUCCAUAGACUUGGCGAAUCUGAU
rnacentral:lncRNA from 1 species